rnacentral:lncRNA from 1 species
CUCUGGGUCCUCAGGGUCCCCAGAGGGGCAGGUGAGACCACAGGGAUUGUGUGCUGGGUUUCCUCAGGGUGGACACUGCUGUUCUGCACGGAAAAUCAGCCUCGAAGACUCCAGGCGUCCCUCCACAGAUCAAGCCGCCAGGCAGGGGCGCAGCCGUCACCGCCAGCAAAUGCUGGGGUCCCCGGUGGGUGACCCGAUGUCCUUGUCUUCGUUUUCGGGAUGUGGGCUGCCACGGCUGCAACUGGAAAGUCCCAGGUAAACGGGGGGAGCUACUUUCCCAGGCCCUGGAGAGGAAUCCUCGAAGGCAGAGUCCUGUCCCAAGGACAGCACCAAAUAUUACCAAAAAUAUUUGUGUUUUUAUUGACAAGUAAAGGCUCAAU